UACGGGGGGGGCAAGCGUUGUUCGGAAUUACUGGGCGUAAAGGGCUCGUAGGCGGCCAACUAAGUCAGACGUGAAAUCCCUCGGCUUAACCGGGGAACUGCGUCUGAUACUGGAUGGCUUGAGUUUGGGAGAGGGAUGCGGAAUUCCAGGUGUAGCGGUGAAAUGCGUAGAUAUCGGGAGGAACACCUGUGGCGAAAGCGGCUCACUGGACCGCAACUGACGCUGAGGCGCGAAAGCUAGGGGAGUAAACAGG
rnacentral:rRNA from 1 species